CAGCAGCCGCGGUAAUACGUAUGUCGCAAGCGUUAUCCGGAAUUAUUGGGCAUAAAGGGCAUCUAGGCGGCCAGACAAGUCUGGGGCGAAAACUUGCGGCUCAACCGCAAGCCUGCCCUGGAAACUGUUUGGCUAGAGUGCUGGAGAGGUGGACGGAACUGCACGAGUAGAGGUGAAAUUCGUAGGUAUGUGCAGGAAUGCCGAUGAUGAAGAUAGUUCACUGGACGGCAACUGACGCUGAAGUGCGAAAGCUAGGGGAGCGAACAGGAUUAGAUACCCCUGUAGUCCCUGUCUCUUAUAC
rnacentral:rRNA from 1 species